rnacentral:tRNA from 1 species
GGGGCAGUAGCUCAGUGGGUAGAGACGGUCGUCGGUUCGACUCCGGCCUGCUCCACAA